UACCAGCUCCCUGAGUGGUAAGGACGAUUAUUUGGCCUAAAGCGUCCGUGGCCGGCUUAUCAAGUCUCUUGUUAAACCCAAUGAUUCAGUCAUUGACCUGCAAGAGACACUGUUAUGCUAGAGGACGGGAGAGGUCGACGGUAGUCCAGGGGUAGGGGUGAAAUCCUAUAAUCCUUGGAGGACCACCAGUGGCGAAGGCGGUCGACUAGAACGUGCCUGACGGUGAGGGACGAAAGCUGGGGGAGCGAACCGGAUUAGAUACCCGGGUAGUCCCAGCUGUAAACGAUGCGGGCUAGGUGUUGGGGUAGCUACGAGCUACUCCAGUGCCGCAGAGAAGUUGUUAAGCCCGCCGCCUGGGGAGUACGGCCGCAAGGCUAGAAACUUAAAGGAAUUGGCGGGGAGCACCACAAGGCGUGAAGCUUGCGGUUC
rnacentral:rRNA from 1 species